rnacentral:misc_RNA from 1 species
GAUGAAGAACGUAGCGAAAUGCGAUAAGUAGUGUGAAUUGCAGAAUUCAGUGAAUCAUCGAAUCUUUGAUCGCACAUUGCGCCCCUUGGUAUUCCAUGGGGCAUGCCUGUUCGAGCGUCAUUUGUACCUUCAAGCUCUGCUUGGUGUUGGGUGUUUGUCUCGCCUCUGCGUGUAGACUCGCCUCAAAACAAUUGGCAGCCGGCGUAUUGAUUUCGGAGCGCAGUACAUCUCGCGCUUUGCACUCAUAACGACGACGUCCAAAAGUACAUUUUUACACUCUUGACCUCGGAUCAGGUAGGGAUACCCGCUGAACUUAAGCAUAUCAAUAAGCGGAGGA